GACGAACGCUGGCGGCGUGCCUAAUACAUGCAAGUCGAGCGGACCUUUCGGGGUCAGCGGCGGACGGGUGAGUAACACGUGGGCAAUCUGCCCGAUACUCUGGGAUAACGCUUGGAAACGAGUGCUAAUACCGGAUGGUCUUCUUGGCCGCAUGGCCGAGAAGGAAAAGACGCGUUCGCGUCGGUGUCGGAUGAGCCCGCGGCGCAUUAGCUAGUUGGUGAGGUAACGGCCCACCAAGGCGACGAUGCGUAGCCGACCUGAGAGGGUGACCGGCCACACUGGGACUGANACACGGCCCAGACUCCUACGGGAGGCAGCAGUAGGGAAUCUUCCACAAUGGGCGAAAGCCUGAUGGAGCAACGCCGCGUGAGUGAUGAAGGCCUUCGGGUUGUAAAACUCUGUCAUUCGGGACGAACCGGAGUCUGAGGAAAUGCAGACUCUCUGACGGUACCGGAGGAGGAAGCCCCGGCUAACUACGUGCCAGCAGCCGCGGUAAUACGUANGGGGCAAGCGUUGUCCGGAUUCACUGGGCGUAAAGCGCGCGCAGGCGGUGAUGUAAGUCUGANGUGAAAACCCGAAGCUCAACUUCGGGACUGCCUUGGAUACUGCGUCACUUGAGGAUAGGAGAGGCAAGGGGAAUUCCACGUGUAGCGGUGAAAUGCGUAGAGAUGUGGAGGAACACCUNGUGGCGAAGGCGCCUUGCUGGCCUAUUUCUGACGCUGAGGCGCGAAAGCGUGGGGGAGCAAACAGGAUUAGAUACCCUGGUAGUCCACGCUGUAAACGAUGAGUGCUAGGUGUAGGUGGGCUCAUACCCAUCUGUGCCGAAGCUAACGCAUUAAGCACUCCGCCUGGGGGNAGUACGGUCGCAAGACUGAAACUCAAAGGAAUUGACGGGGGCCCGCACAAGCAGUGGAGCAUGUGGUUUAAUUCGAAGCAACGCGAAGAACCUUACCAGGACUUGACAUCCCAUAGACCAGUCUAGAGAUAGACCUUCCCUUCGGGGCUGUGGUGACAGGUGGUGCAUGGUUGUCGUCAGCUCGUGUCGUGAGAUGUUGGGUUAAGUCCCGCAACGAGCGCAACCCUUACUUUGUGUUGCCAGCAUUCAGUUGGGCACUCACAAGGGACUGCCGCCGAUAAGGCGGAGGAAGGUGGGGAUGACGUCAAAUCAUCAUGCCCCUUAUGUCCUGGGCUACACACGUGCUACAAUGGGCGGUACAACGGGAUGCGAAGCCGCGAGGUGGAGCCAAACCCUGAAAACCAUUCGUAGUUCGGAUUGUAGGCUGCAACUCGCCUACAUGAAGCCGGAAUUGCUAGUAAUCGCGGAUCAGCAUGCCGCGGUGAAUCCGUUCCCGGGCCUUGUACACACCGCCCGUCACACCACGAGAAUGGGCAACACCCGAAGUCGGUGGGGUAACCUUUACGGGAGCUAGCCGCCGAAGGUGGGGCCUGUGAUUGGGGUG
rnacentral:rRNA from 1 species